rnacentral:lncRNA from 1 species
AAAUAUGUGUAGAUACUACUGAUGCGUUUAUGACGACGGAAAGAUUUGAUACACGAGAAGAGGUUAUCAGAUGGAUUAAAGAGGUUGGAAUCAACAAUAAAGUAACUGUUAUUAUCAGUCGUUCAGAUACUGAAACGGGGAAGAGAGGGAGAAGUAACAAAAUAAUAUUUGGUUGUGAUAAAGGUGGGAAACACAAGAUUAGUGAUAGUGGUACCCAAAGUGCGUCGAAGAAAUGUGGAUGUCCAUUUAAAAUCAGGUCGACUCCGGCGAAAGAUGGAUCUGGU